rnacentral:rRNA from 1 species
UACGUAGGGUGCGAGCGUUAAUCGGAAUUACUGGGCGUAAAGCGUGCGCAGGCGGUUCGCUGUGUCCGAUGUGAAAGCCCCGGGCUUAACCUGGGAAUGGCAUUGGAAACUGGCGGGCUUGAGUGCGGCAGAGGGGGGUGGAAUUCCGCGUGUAGCAGUGAAAUGCGUAGAUAUGCGGAGGAACACCGAUGGCGAAGGCAGUCCCCUGGGCCUGUACUGACGCUCAUGCACGAAAGCGUGGGGAGCAAACAGG